rnacentral:tRNA from 1 species
UCCCGUGUGGCUCAGUUGGUAGAGCAUGAUGCUUGCAACGCCAGGGUUGUGGGUUUGAUUCCCACAGGGGAC